rnacentral:rRNA from 1 species
CCUACGGGAGGCAGCAGUGGGGAAUAUUGCACAAUGGGCGCAAGCCUGAUGCAGCCAUGCCGCGUGUGUGAAGAAGGCCUUCGGGUUGUAAAGCACUUUCAGCGGGGAGGAAGGCGUUAAGGUUAAUAACCUUGGCGAUUGACGUUACCCGCAGAAGAAGCACCGGCUAACUCCGUGCCAGCAGCCGCGGUAAUACGGAGGGUGCAAGCGUUAAUCGGAAUUACUGGGCGUAAAGCGCACGCAGGCGGUCUGUCAAGUCGGAUGUGAAAUCCCCGGGCUCAACCUGGGAACUGCAUUCGAAACUGGCAGGCUAGAAUCUUGUAGAGGGGGGUAGAAUUCCAGGUGUAGCGGUGAAAUGCGUAGAGAUCUGGAGGAAUACCGGUGGCGAAGGCGGCCCCCUGGACAAAGACUGACGCUCAGGUGCGAAAGCGUGGGGAGCAAACAGGAUUAGAUACCCCUGUAGUC